AGCGAACGCUGGCGGCAGGCCUAACACAUGCAAGUCGAACGGAUCCUUCGGGAUUAGUGGCGGACGGGUGAGUAACACGUGGGAACGUGCCCUUUGGUUCGGAACAACUCAGGGAAACUUGAGCUAAUACCGGAUGUGCCCUUCGGGGGAAAGAUUUAUCGCCAUUGGAGCGGCCUGCGUCUGAUUAGCUAGUUGGUGAGGUAACGGCCCACCAAGGCGACGAUCAGUAGCUGGUCUGAGAGGAUGAUCAGCCACACUGGGACUGAGACACGGCCCAGACUCCUACGGGAGGCAGCAGUGGGGAAUCUUGCGCAAUGGGCGAAAGCCUGACGCAGCCAUGCCGCGUGAAUGAUGAAGGUCUUAGGAUUGUAAAAUUCUUUCAGCGGGGACGAUAAUGACGGUACCCGCAGAAGAAGCUCCGGCUAACUUCGU
rnacentral:rRNA from 1 species